CCUACGGGAGUCAGCAGUGAGGAAUAUUGGUCAAUGGCCGGAAGGCUGAACCAGCCAUGCCGCGUGAAGGUCAGUGCCCUAUGGGCGUUAAACUUCUUUUGUGCGGGAGCAAUAAUGGUCACGUGUGGCCAGACGAGAGUACCGUACGAAUAAGCAUCGGCUAACUCCGUGCCAGCAGCCGCGGUAAUACGGGGGAUGCAAGCGUUAUCCGGAUUUAUUGGGUUUAAAGGGUGCGUAGGCUGUGAGGUAAGUCAGCGGUGAAAUGCCGCCGCUCAACGGGGUGAAGUGCCAUUGAUACUGCCUGGCUGGAAUGCGGAUGCGGUGGGAGGAAUGUGUGGUGGAGCGGUGAAAUGCAUAGAUAUCACACAGAACACCGAUUGCGAAGGCAUCUCACGAAUCCGCGAUUGACGCUGAUGCACGAAAGCGUGGGUAUCAAACAGGAUUAGAUACCCGUGUAGUC
rnacentral:rRNA from 1 species